rnacentral:rRNA from 1 species
GACGAACGCUGGCGGCGUGCUUAACGCAUGCAAGUCGAACGGAAAGGCCCUGCUUGCAGGGUACUCGAGUGGCGAACGGGUGAGUAACACGUGGGUGAUCUGCCCUGCACUUCGGGAUAAGCCUGGGAAACUGGGUCUAAUACCGGAUAGGAGCCAUUUUUAGUGUGAUGGUUGGAAAGUUUUUUCGGUGUAGGAUGGGCUCGCGGCCUAUCAGCUUGUUGGUGGGGUAAUGGCCUACCAAGGCGGCGACGGGUAGCCGGCCUGAGAGGGUGGACGGCCACAUUGGGACUGAGAUACGGCCCAGACUCCUACGGGAGGCAGCAGUGGGGAAUAUUGCACAAUGGGCGCAAGCCUGAUGCAGCGACGCCGCGUGGGGGAUGACGGCCUUCGGGUUGUAAACUCCUUUCGCUAGGGACGAAGCUUUUUGUGACGGUACCUAGAUAAGAAGCACCGGCUAACUACGUG